AGAGUUUGAUCCUGGCUCAGGACGAACGCUGGCGGCAUGCCUAAUACAUGCAAGUCGAACGCGACCAUCCGGUGCUUGCACUGGUGAAGUCGAGUGGCGAACGGGUGAGUAACACGUGAGAAACCUACCCUGGAGUGGGGAAUAACUCGAAGAAAUUCGAGCUAAUACCGCAUACCUUCUUACUGCCGCAUGGCGGUUUGAAGAAAGAUUUAUCGCUCUGGGAGGGUCUCGCGGCCUAUCAGCUAGUUGGUGAGGUAAUGGCUCACCAAGGCAUCGACGGGUAGCUGGUCUGAGAGGACGAUCAGCCACACUGGAACUGAGACACGGUCCAGACUCCUACGGGAGGCAGCAGUAGGGAAUCUUGCGCAAUGGGCGAAAGCCUGACGCAGCAAUGCCGCGUGCGGGACGAAGGCCCUAGGGUCGUAAACCGCUUUCAGUAGGGACGAAAAUGACGGUACCUGCAGAAGAAGCUCCGGCCAACUACGUGCCAGCAGCCGCGGUAAUA
rnacentral:rRNA from 1 species